UUGCCAGUAACAGAGCCAACCCCGGCUGCUGUAGGCUGUUGAGCUGGGGCUGGGGUGGGGCAGGUCAAGAGCCUUGCCCGAGGCACCGGAGCUGACACUGGAGAGUCUUUGAAGAAGCCCAGAAGCACUUCUUCUCUUCCGAGCAGAGGAUCAUCCUGUAAGAAAUCCACAACCACACUGAUUACCUCUUUUCCUGCCAACCAUUCUGUAAAGGCUGGUCAGACAACCUAGGAUACUGAAAACCAGGCUAAAUUCAAAGAAGAGCUUGACAAGAUAAUCUGUCUUUACAUACAUAAUAAUUUUUCUAACAGCUGAUUCCCAAAUAAAAUUAUACCAGAAAAAAACUUAGAACUGUGGCUUUGGUUUUUGGUGGCAGAUAGGGAAAGGAGUCUGUUUUUAAACUAGCCAAAUACCCACUAGGCAUUGCUUCUUUUUUCUGGUUUCCUGGUGAACUUUUCACAUGGUUCUAAUGAUCGGUCAUAACUACUUUGUUAAAUGUUUCAGUGACAGUAAACAAAGCAAAAAUAAUUGUCUAGAAUACAUUGUGCCUUAAAGCUCUCUUACUAGUUUAGGAAAAUUGUGGCUAAAAACUGUGGCAUUUGGAUGACCUCCCUUUUUCUGUUCUUCCAGCUAAUACUAACACUCAAUUCUAGUAUAAAUAAAGGCAAACAUUAGUGAUAAUAAACUUUCAAACUCAGGCACAGAUUUGUUUAUAGCUAGGUUGGUACUUGAGGGAUCCGGUGUAAUUUAAAAGCCAAUAAAUUGAAACAAACUCACUUGUUUUGGAGGCUGUUUAUGAACUCUUUUAAUUUGGUGUCAUAUUUAUUUGGGCAGAAUUAGAUUAUCCUAUUCAUUAGAUGCUGUGGCCAGUGAUGAAUGGAACAACAUUUCACAUCAAUGGCAUUAAUUGAAUCCUCACAAGCACAGAUAAUACCCCUGCCGGAAACAGGAGAAGAUGGAAAAGUUCUCCAAAGUAGGUCUGCAAAUACUGCAGUGAUGAGGGAGCACUACUGGACAGCCAGGAUAGUUGGCAGCACUUGAAUGCUUUUCAUUUUUUUGUGAGACUACUUGGAGUAUGAUCUUCAGGCAUACAAUUAAGAUUGGAUCUCCAUGGUGCUAGGCAUUGCACAAGUGAAUGUUAAGGGGAAGCUCCUGCUGUAAGGCUGAGUUUAAAUAGAAAAUCACACAACCAAUGGGAGAGGUGGUAGAUGUAGCUAAGGGGGAAAUAAGCAGUUUAGGCUGUGCUUUAAUGGCAGAUUAGCUGUGAUCACAGCUACCUGCUGCCCUUGCAGACCUGAUGUACCUCCCUUACCCUGGCACUUAACUGGCUGGGAGAUAAGCUGGUUCUGGGGAACUUAUCUCGGUAUUUGUAGCCUGAGGCUGCCAAUUUGUUUCAAGGGUUUGCCUGAACCAACUGAACAGCUCACUGAAGGCUUCUCUUCCCCCUUCCUGGCUCCCAACCACGCACUCUUCACUGUCACUGCUCCCAGGCCAUGUCUGAUCACAUGCCAGUCCUAAUAGCAAAAAACUGCUUUAGUAUUUCUUUCCCCAGGAAGAAAAUUGCAUUCAGCUUAAGCUGAGAUCAUAGUCAAGGCAAAGGAGAAGCCCCCUUCAGUGGACAGGGAAGUCUUACUGCAGUAAUACCAAACCCACUUCCUUCCUUCCCUGCUGGCUCAGCCCCCCACCCUAAUCAGGUCACCAGGCUGUGGCUACCACUGGAGCAGAGAAAAAGUAUAGAUGGAGGGGAGGGGAGGGCUAUGCUAGUCAUCCAGCUGGCUGCCCUCCUUGAGCACCCAUACAGGUGCUUUUAAAAAUGAGACUCUAGCUCAGCAGGCUUAGGAAACCUUUUCAGCAUGUCUUGUUCAGGAUCACCCAUCAUGUCUGACACAGAAUCAAGGAGGAAGGUCAGGUCCCCUGAGCUGCAGGCUCGUGCCGUAAGUAAAUCUUUUGCCUCAAGGGAAAUUUAUUUCAGAGGGAAGCAUAAUCAAAAAGACUGGCAGACAUUUCAGCAAAACUGAUUUAAAGCUUGGGUUUGUAAAAAUAUCCAGAUGAUUUUCUCCUAGCUCAUCAAUAAUACAUGCUUGGGUCUGCUGAGGAUUUCUCGGAAAUGUGUCAUUCUUCCAGGGAGCGUGUCCUAUUGAUAGAGCCAUAAGCCACUGCCAAUUAAUCAGGGCAUAAUGUAGUGUUCAAAAAUGAGCAUGAGCUUUUCAUGCCAGUCCUCUUUGAUUCAUGCCUCCGCUAUGAUUCAUGCCAGUCCUCUUUCAGAUGAGCAGCUGUUUGUUAUGAGCAAAUUACUGUCAGUGAAAGGUGAAAACCAGCCUGAGACAUCGAUGGGCUUUGGUGCAAAGAGAGUAGGAGCUUCAUCAAAUUCUGAGUUUCCUGCUUGCUUCCUAUGGAAGAAACUUUGCUCUUGCACAUCCCAGUGGCACAAAGCAGUGAACAGUGUCAAAUGUGUUGAAGCAACAGUGCCCUGAAUGUAUGGGAUCCCCCUAGAUCCCCAAUGUGACCUAUGAAGUCCCUGUAUUCCUGACAAAUCCUUCCCAUCACUGAUGUUCUUCCAGUCAGCCAGCAAGGGCAAGGCAUCUUCAGCAGCGUGCACCAGGACAGUUCUCCUGGGAAAUUCAGGAGCAGGAGUUGGAGGGAAUUUUCCUAAAGGUUUGAUCACAUACUCCAAACCCUCCUGCUGCAUAAAUGAGAGGGGCAGGGCAGCACAUGUCAAGAAUCCUUAAAAGGGAGGUGCCAGAACUGGCGACUGGGAACGCUGAUCACUGAGCUCUCCCCUGGCAUGUCCUCUGCCAGGGGCAGAAGGGCUGCAAGGCAGUAAGUAGCACUGUCUGCAUUUUGCUGAGGCAGAAACAGAGGUGAGUGACUGGUUCAGUGUCAGCAGGAAUUAGGAUGCGGUUCAUCAGAGCCCCAGGUAAAUUCCCCACCUGGAGACUCCACCUUCUCUCUCUGCUCAUGUCGGGCUAUGUUUCUUUUCUGAUCUGUGCUCUCAAAAUUGACAUCCCGGGAAAGUGCUCUCAACCAAGGUCUCAAAGAGGUUAAAUCAGUAAUAGCCACAGAGGCACUAGCAGGGACAUCUAUAAAACUAACCAUUUCAGAGCACUAAUUUCAUCAGCAAGCUAAUUGCAAAUAUUGUAUCUAAGAACAUUUCCAGCCAUCUGCAGGAAGGGAAUGUCACAGUGCUUGAAAGACAUCAUGUACUUAUGACUGUGUCUUGCUGAUAAAUAAAUCUGGCACAGGGAGUUUUGGAUGUCAUUAUGAUAGUCAUGCAGAACAAACAUCCCUUGCUGUUACUUGAAGGUAUUUAUACAUCACCUUUAUUGUUUUAUCUGAAUAAUUCCUGUUAUAUUUCACCUCUGUUUUAGAGUACAGAACUGAGCGAAUAUGGGGGAUAUUACUACUCCCUACAGCAGGACUUUACUGUGCCUUUUGUCACAUAGUAAACUGGUGAUGCUGCAAGGAACAAAAUCACAUCUUCCCAGAUCCAAGGCUGGGACUCUGCCAACUGCAUCUCCCUCUUUUAUUGUGGAUCCAGGUACAGUCUCUAAACAACUUUCAUCAGACUCAGUCCUAGGGUGACAUGAGUGUCAAAGGGACCAAGAAAAGAUGUGUCUAUAUCCCAUUCCCAGAGUAAGAACGGCACCAAUGUCAGGAAAGUGGAAGUUUGAGCUAUCCUUGUCUGUAUUCUGGGUAAGUUGAAAUUCCCUCCUCUCUAGAGCUGAAGGUUUUGACAGAUACCAAGUCCCCUCUGCUAAAAAGUAAAUAAUUUUUAUCAAACAUACAGGGCAGGAUUCACUAUGUGGUACAGCUUGGUUUUGACACUCCCUUAAACAAGCAAUGAAGUUUGAGCUCUAAAGGAACCUGCCACCCUGUUGGACAGAUGAUUUGCCUUUCUGUCUACUUGGAACCAGCUCUUGAGGCUUGUUUCUGCCUGGGAACUGAAUUUUGAUGUUUGGACUGUUCACAUAACUCUAAGUUAGCUGUAUUUGUAACCAGCCCUUUUCAAGGCCUUGUGUAUAAUGUAGAAAUAAAGUUAGUUGUGCUUACCUUUUUUGUCCUGUGCAAAGGUGACCUGUAAGGACCUGACAUGUGAAGCUACCUGAUGAGGUGGCAACCUGCAAGCCCUCCCUCCCACUCACCAGUUAAAUAGUUGUAUGUCUGCAUAUAGACUUCAGGUUUUGUGACUUGCCAGCCGAGGAGCUUGGAGUUCAACACCACUACAGGUCCUACUUUGCAAGAGCCAGCAGCCUUUCAAAGAGAAGCCAAAAUUAUUUUUAAAAGUACUUGUUUGUACAUCAGUUUAACGAAGGACAUUGUCCCACUAAUUGUUGUUAUAGCACUUGUUAUGGUCAGUGGAGACACUAUAUGCUAAAGUCUCAAAAGUUUGUGCUGAGACAGGCAUGCUACCAAGCACAACAACAUUUCUGUCUUGAAGACAGGGUUAUUACAUCCAGGCUUAAGGCCAAAUAAUCCCAGGGGUCAAGACUGAACUUGCAACACAGUUCUUAAAAUAUUUCCCGUUUUCUUCUAGAAUAAACCAAUUGAAAAAACCA